UUUAAAAAAAUUAGAUUUCGUUUUAAAUUAAAAAAUAUGUAUAUUGCAAAUGACACAUUUAAACUGUGUUGUCAAAAGAAAAAUAAUUGUGCAGUUAAGAGUAGACAUUCGUUAAAAUACGGUCCCAAUAUUCGGAGUGCCAUACGUGGCAAAACGAUCGUCCUUAUAUCGUCAACAAAACAAAUAUUGCGACUUGAUAGGACAAUCAUUUUCAACGCGACGAAAGUUACAAAUGAGAAACAUACGGAAUUCUCUGGUGCCAUUACGACUAUAACCUCUUGACAAAACACGUAUACGUCUCUCCGAAGUACACAGCGGAUACACCAGAGGGUCGAAACUUUCUUUUCGAAAAGAAGACGAGGGCGACAAUAUUCAGCGCUACUGAUGAUUUCAAGUUGGAAUUAGCGAAACAAAAUGGCUGUGUUCUGUGUUCCCGCUCCUAAUAUGAAUAAGCCAAUCUUUUAUUCAAAAUUUUCUAGAUAUAUAAAAAAAAUACAUGACGUGUUAUAAUUUCAUAUAUAUCAAAUAUUUAUGCUUCAUAAAUCGUAACUUGUUUCUAUAGCAUUUUCCAAUUGUAUUUUCUAUCUAAUUUUAUAAAAAUGUUUUAUAGA